GCCAUCAUUUAAAGAAAGCGUAAUAGCUCACUGGUCGAGUCGGCCUGCGCGGAAGAUGUAACGGGGCUAAACCAUGCACCGAAGCUGCGGCAGCGACGCUUAGGCGUUGUUGGGUAGGGGAGCGUUCUGUAAGCCGUUGAAGGUGAAUCGUGAGGUUUGCUGGAGGUAUCAGAAGUGCGAAUGCUGACAUAAGUAACGAUAAAGCGGGUGAAAAACCCGCUCGCCGGAAGACCAAGGGUUCCUGUCCAACGUUAAUCGGGGCAGGGUGAGUCGACCCCUAAGGCGAGGCUGAAAAGCGUAGUCGAUGGGAAACAGGUUAAUAUUCCUGUACUCGGUGUUACUGCGAAGGGGGGACGGAGAAGGCUAUGUCAUCCGGGCGACGGUCGUCCCGGUUUAAGCGUGUAGGUGGGCAGUCCUGGUAAAUCCGGACAGCCGUUAACACUGAGGCGUGACGACGAGGCACUACGGUGCUGAAGUGACAGAUGCCCGGCUUCCAGGAAAAGCCUCUAAGCAUCAGGUAACAUUGAAUCGUACCCCAAACCGACACAGGUGGUCAGGUAGAGAAUACUCAGGCGCUUGAGAGAACUCGGGUGAAGGAACUAGGCAAAAUGGUGCCGUAACUUCGGGAGAAGGCACGCUGGCGCGUAGGUGAAGGGACUUGCUCCCGGAGCCGAAGCCAGUCGCAGAUACCAGCUGGCUGCAACUGUUUAAUAAAAACACAGCACUGUGCAAACACGAAAGUGGACGUAUACGGUGUGACGCCUGCCCGGUGCUGGAAGGUUAAUUGAUGGGGUUAUCGCUUUGCGAGAAGCUCUUGAUCGAAGCCCCAGUAAACGGCGGC
rnacentral:rRNA from 1 species